ACUCACCCAGCUGGUUGGAGAGAGGCAAUGUGAAGGUGGACUGCCUCAAGGGGCCUUCCAGCAGGGCCCUGUGGCGGGAGCCCCUCUCGGGAGGCCCCUUGUCCAGAUUCGGGGCCGGCAGGUGGCAGAACUUCCCAGUGGAGUUGGUGGGGCACCAGCACUCAUCCCUGCCGAUGCAGCGGCCUCCGUUCAGGCAGGGGAUCUGGCAGAAAUCUGUAACAUCGACCUCAAGGUGACUGCUGGUAGAAGAACACAGCAGUACCCACCAUACGGCUGGCGGGUGACCACAGGGAAGCAGGGGGAGCAGGAACCCAAAUCUGGGUGGCUGGGGGAGUCCGGCACACCCUGAAAUGCAGGGACUUUCCAGGAGGCCGGGAAUGAAGAAGGGUAGACGAUAACCAGCCCUUGCCUUUCUAAAGAGCCCUUUCACGCCUUUCCUGGACCCCACUGUACAGUGGGACCCCUCCCCCCUCCCCUGAAACCUGGGGGACAGGAGGGCAGUGGCACUACGAACUCCCUUAACUUCUCUGUGGAGGAAACAUGGACUCAGGAAAGUUAUGUGACUUGCCUAGAGUCGCACAGCCAGGCUGUGACAGAGGGGGGUGAGGACUCGGCACUCCGUGUGACUGGGAACAACUCACAGAAGCCACAGGAGGAGAGCAGUGGGCUUCCUUCCUGCAGGAGGCCUGGGCUCCUGCCCGAGGCAAGCCUGUCGCUCUGGCCACCCUGUCCCCUCCCAGGGCCUGGGAGCCAUCUCAGGGGGAAGGGACUCACAGAUUCGGAAGCCAGACUUGGGGUCAUGCCCGUGGCCACCCUGGCUAUACAGGGUGGUGGUGUCGCCGCGUUCACAGCUGUUGGAGCAGUGCCCACGGGCACAAGUCUGCUUGCAGAUGGUGGGAGUGAAGACGAUCUUGAUCUUCUUGAUUUUCUCAGUGAGGUUCAGCCCUGCAGAGAGAGGGCUUGGGUCCAGGGGGCAGGGCUGAGAGGCACAGCUGUGACCUCCAGAGGCUGCUUAGAGAGGCCCACGGGGUCAAGGGUGACUCCAUCCCAAGGGCAUUUGCUAAGUACCUACUGGAAGCAAGGUCCCGUAGUGGGGGCAGGGUAAUACCUUUGAGAAGCUCACAGUCCAACAGCUAUUGGGGGACGCCAAAGUGCCAACCAUUCAGCUCAUGCUUUAGGCAAAUUAGCUCUUAUCCCUCUUGGCUGAGUAUUAUUUUAGGUUGAUCCGCUAGAAAUUGCCAUUUCUGUAGGUUAAGAUAACUGAACAUUGGCACUGUUCCUAAUCUAACGUUUCUCUUUUACAGAUAUGGAAACUGAGGCCCAGGGAAGGCUGGGUUGCCCCAAAUCACACAGCUAGCAAGUGCUGCAGCUGGGCUCUGAGCCAGCAGGCAGAGAGAAACGACCGAGCUCAGACUUGCCAGAGCAGAGUCAGUGUGGGGAGCUAAUGCCCUCUCAGCUGGAGUGUGCAGGUGGAAGGCGAGGCAGGGUGACCAGUUGGGAGGUCACUUUGGCCAUCCCAGCUGGUUCUGUAACACAGGUGGUGGCAGUGUAAAUACAGAGGAGAGGUGUUCAAUCAGCAUGGGGAGCCCAGGGAGGGAAGCCAGAGGGAGAGGGGUAGAGGAGGGAGGUUUAAAAAGCCUACAUAGACCGUGUGUUCAAGAAGCUAGCCCGUGAGAGGAGAGAUAGAGAGGAAGCCCAAGGGAAGUGGGGGGGGGGGUGUGUGUGUGCCCGUGCAAGGGUGUGAGCAUGGAGAGCUGACCAAGUAUAUUUGCUGAUGGGAAGCGGCUGGGAGAGGAGACAGCGUGAAGAGGGAGGAGAGAGGUUCGGGGGGGAGGGCAAGGGAUGGUCUAGUGUUCUAGAGGAAUCAAGAAGGUGGACGCCCCGCUUUCCAAGAUGGCAAGAAAGGUGGUCACGGACUAAAAAGAGGAACGAAUACGGACAGGGAUAAACCUCGAAAACAUUACACGAAGUCACAAAGGGCUACAUAUCGGACAGGCUCGGUUUACGGCAUGUCCAAGAUAAGCAAAUCUGUAGAGAUAAAAGAGACUAGCGGGGCCCGGAGCUUGGGAAAGAGGCUUAAUGGGCAUGCGGCUUCCUUUUGGAGUGAUGACAGUGUUCUGGAAUUAGAUAGUGGUGGUGGUUGUGCAAAAUUAUGAAUCCACUAAAAGUCACUGAUGCGUCCACUUUAAAAUGGUUAAUUUUAUAUGAAUUUCACCUCAACUUUUAAAAUGGGAAAAAAAACAAGAAAAGAGGUCAGCUCAGGCACAGGUGUAGGUAAGGGCCAUGUGUGCAUGGUCACAUGGUGAGGCAGGUGGGCAGGAAGGUGAGGAGCUCUCCCAGGGGUGGCAGGGUGCCCAUGUGCUGACGGGAUGGCACUUGGGGAAGUGGGGGCAGCUUGGAGUAGCUGCUCUGAGGGAUGAGAGAGAGACAGAAAAAGAGAGAGACAGAGAGAGAGAGAGAGCAGGCACCUGGGGAAGGACUGUUGGGCAAUGACCAGAAUAUGCAGAGGCAUGAACCUGCAGGGAUGGUCAGGUGUCUCCUCUAGAAAGCAGAGGCCCGGCUGUGGGUGCUAAGAAAGCAACUGGCCAGGUUGGUCCAGGAGGGUUGUGCUUUGCAGGAAGCAUGAGGUGGAAGGAACAGGGUCAGGGAGGUGAGGUUCAUGGCUGGAUAUGAAGGAAGCAAAGGCAGGACGUGUGACAGGGGCAAAGUCUCCGAUCAGCUGGUUUGGGACCCUUGGAGCCCGGCACAAAGCAGGCAUUUGACGACUGUUGGUUGAUUGGCUGAGAGGAUGAGUGACAAGGUGAAACUCAGCCCCUCUGUGAGAGUGGAGGGGAAGGUCAGCAAUUUAGAUGCUCUGCUCUUCCGGGACCUUGAGACGGGGCAUCCUUACCCCAGGGGGAUGACGGGUGGUCCAGAUACGCCGCCUGCUGGGUGCCAUCCCUCCGCUCAAGGCCUGGCCCUGCGGGCAGGGCAUUGGAGGUGAGCUGACCGCUGGCUGCGGUGGUUGGGUAAAGCCGGACCGUCCGGGACAACCCCACGUGCUGCUGGGAGGGCUGCGUCUGGCUGAGCCCACUCAGGGUCCUGUGGAGAUAAUCACCGUACAGGGGUUUACCACCUAGAAGCAGCAUCCCUGUGCUCUCUGUCUCCGCUCGGGCCACCCACCCCGCUGCCUCUGCACUAGAAGAGUGCUCUCUGUUUGGCUGCCUUCUCUCCACCCAUGUGCAGUGACUCAGGGAUAUGGAGGUGCCCUGAGGUAGGGGGAGUGAGGUAAGGUCCGCCAGUUUGUUCCAUGGGAGUGCCUAUCCCUACGAGGGAUAGCUAGGCUUUUGCUGGGCUGUUCUGGGUGAGUCAGAGCCUCUCUGAGCCUCAGGGCCCUCGACUACAAAACGAAGGUGUUAGACUGGUCUCCUGUGGCUCUGACAUUCUGAGAGUCUUUGAGACUCUUAGCAGUCAAGCUCUGCCCCCCAACUGAGUCCUGUGCCUACCCCCUGCCACUUCAUAAUUCAACCCUUAACACAAAUUACCUGUGGACUACGAGCCCAGCAAAUGCUGAUUCAUAGAUUGAUUUGGGAGGCAGAGCCUAGAAUAUCCCUCUCAUUUAUUUUCAUUGUGCAAAUAAUACAACAAUAUUCAAGGAGAAAAAAAAUCAAAUUCAUCAUUCCCCUGCCCCCACCCCUCAAAUACUUUGCACAUUCCCUUUCUUUCUAAUGUUUUUAUUUCUUUUUGAGAGAGAGAGAGAGAGAGAGAGACAGACAGACAGACAGAGUGCAAGCUGGAGAGGGGCAGAGAGAGAGGGAGACACAAAAUCUGAAGCAGGCCCCAGGCUCCAAGCUGUCAGCACAGAGCCCGACACAGGGACUGAACGCACAAACUGCGAGAUCGUGAGCUGAGCUGAAGUUGGACGCUCAACCGACUGAGCCACCCAGGCGCCCUGCAUGUUUCCUUUCAACCUUUGCUCAAAUCUAUGUUCUUACCCUAUUGUCAUCGCCUGUAGGUGCACCUUGAGUUAUUAUUUUUUUCACUUAACAUUAGAUCAUACUUGAUACAAUUUCAGUUUUCAUAUUUUAGCAUCUCAAUUACUACAUGAUAGUCUAUCAGAAGACAAAUCACAAUUUAUUCAGACAUUCGCCUGUUACAUAGAUUGUUUUUAAUUUUUUUAUGAAACAUUUAUUUAUUUAGUUAGUUAUUUUUGGAGAGAAGGCUCAAGUGAGCGAGCGAGAGAGAGAGAGAGAGAGAGAACGAGAGAAUCCCAUGCUGGCUCCACACUGUCAGCAUGGGGCCCGAAGUGGGGUUCAUGCUCACCAGAUGUGGGGCUCAAAAUCACAAACUGUGGGAUCAUGACCUGAGCCGAAGUCAGUUGCUUAACCUACCGAGCCACCCAGGUGCCCUGACUGUUUUUAAUUUUUAACUGUGGACAUACAUACUCAUGUGGCUUUUUUUCCAUCUGUUAAAAUAUCCCUUUAGUAUAGGGGGAUUCGCUAUACUAUACUAUUUUAUUCUGUAUAUUUGAAAAAUAUGUAUAACAGACAUUUAAAAAGGACUAUUAUUUUAGGAUUAAUUCUGUGGACUAGAAUGACCCUCUCAAAGGUCCUAAACAUGUCUGGCUCUAGGUGCACACUGGUGCCUUGCUUUCAGAGAAGGUUCUAUCAAAGGUAGUAAUGUACCACUCAGAGGGCACCCUCGACAUCCUAAUGUAUUAUUAAUUUCUCAUGCUUGGCUAAUUAAGGAUAAAAUGGUACUUCAUUGUUGCUUUUCUCUCCUUUAUUACUUCUGAGUUGACAUGUUCUUCAUGGAUCUAUUUACUGCCUUGAAAACUUUCCGCUCCUGUCCUUUGACAUCUUAACCGUUUGAGUUGUUUGUCUCACAAAUGUGAACGUGUUACUCAUAUGUUUAUUACCAGGCCAUUCUACAAAGCAGCCUCCAUUGUAAAUAUUCCAUCACUUCACAAUGUAUAUGAACCUGUAUAUGAUGGUGUCUGGACCGUGGCGAGUGGGAUCACACUGGGGCCAUUGAAGCUGAGGGAGCAAUUCCUUGUCCAAGAUUAUACAACAGGUAAAUUGGGAUUGGGCCCCAGGAUUCCAACCUAGAGCAUCCUGCCUCCUGUGCCACCCAACAGACCAGCCCAGACCAUGAUGGAAGCUCAGCCUAGAAGCAUCUGCUCAGGCCUGGAGGGUGCUCCUUCCCCCAGUAGGUCCCAACCCUACUUGGGAUUCCUUGCCCAAGGUCCUGGGACCCUCUCCCUCUGCUGCCCCUACUCCAGUUUUGUUGACCCUGGGUGCUUAGGCCAUGAGCAAACUUCCUCUUAUCCUUCCCCGGCAGAAGCCAAAUCAGGAGAGAUGCCAGAGGCCAGCACCCCAGUGCUUCCCCAGGAAAUGUUUGACCCUUCCCCAGGCCCCUUUGCUCAAAGCUUGGCUCCCUUAGGCUUUAAUGCAGCUCUUCCUUCCAGGGCCACCAGCAACAAAUCCUUACUCUGACGGGCAUGAACCAUGCCUCACCCUGCUUCCCGGAUUUGGGGUCUGGAGUGGGAGAGAGGUCCUGUUAGCCACUUGAGAAGUUCUGGGAGAUGUAAUGGGCCAGAAAGGGGAGCCCAAGCCUCAGGCACCUGCUCCUCACUCCUAGGAGAAGAGUAACACAACCAGCUGCAGCAGAAAACACAAUCCUUUCAAUAGCUUCCCAGAGCGUGCCUGAGAGAGAGAGAACGAGCAGGUGGGUUGGUGGGAGUCUCCUCCUGGUGGCACCAGGCUGGUGCCACGGCUCAGCUUAGUGCCAUCAUCACAAAGCACCUUAGAAAGAUGAAGGGAGUAGCUCAUGUUCUGCCCAGCUCUUCACCGUUUUGAACUUGAUCAACAAAGAGAUCCCCUAUCUGGUCAAGGUGGAAACUCAAACGAUGCUUUCUUGGCGGUUUGUUGUCAUUGUUGUCGCUGCUGUCACUUGUUUCUCUAAUGGAACUCAAUGCUAAUGGCCCCAAGAUUCCUGAGUCCAAAUCCUAAGGCUAGAGGUUAAUGUUGCAGAGAAGAAAAAACCACCGCCCACAAAGAAAGUCAUGCAUUCCCUAGUUGUAGAUAGGACCUGGUUGUACCGAGGAGAGAGAAGGGGAUUAGGCUGGGCAGAUGUCAGUUCUUCCUCUUCUAGAAGAAUGGUCUUGAGCAAGUCACUUAGCUCCUCUGAGCCUCAAAUUCCUCAUUAGCAAAAUGGGAAUAGUGAUACCACCUCAAGGGGCUGCAGUGAGGACUAAGAGAAACAGUGAGGCCAUGGGAUUGCUUUGCAAGUAUAAACAAAUGGUCACAAGUUGAAAAAUAUGCCCCAAAUUUAAAAUCACAUGAACAACAACAACAACAAAAGUGCUAGAUACACUUUAUUUAUCUAUUUAUUUAUUUUUAUAUUUUUAAACAUUUUUAUUUAUUCUUGAGAGACAGAACAUGAGCAGGGGAGGGGCAGAGAGAGGGAGACACAGAAUCUGAAGCAGGCUCCAGGCUCUGAGCUGUCAGCACAGACGUGGGGCUCGAACUCAUGAACUGCGAGAUCAUGACCUGAACUGAAGUCGGCCGCUUAACCAACUGAGCUACCCAGGUGCCCCAGUGCUAGAUACACUUUAGACAAGCCCCUGAAAGUUCUUAUUUAUCUAAGGAGAAUAAAAGACUUCCCCAAAUGCUUUGUUUUACUACCACACAUCCUUAUAUGUCAAGGGCCAAGUGCCCAAUCUCGUGUUCACACAAAUUUUAACUACCAGAGUCUCCUGAACCCAAUCCAUCGUCAUCUACUGCUGUGAUGGGGAUGUGAGGGUAAAUGACAGAAAUGAAAAGUUCUGCCCAGUCUGAGAGGCUCCCAGAAUAAAGGAGGAAGCCCCUGGUUCUUUGAUAGUUUCUAUCUCCUCCACCGAAAGUACCCCUAUAAGGAAAUUGCCAUCUCCCUUCAUAAGCCCCAGCUCAGUCCUUGGAGGGGGGCAAUGAGGUCCACCACGUGAACAGGGGUACAGGUCCCUUGGUCUCUGGCUGGUCACUCGUGCCAUCAGCACUUCGAAGACCACAGGCAUCUAGGGUGGGGUGCAGACUGUGAGCUGAGGAGUCUGUAAGCCCAGUAGUCUGGCUUUGUGUUAAUCUUUGUACUCAUUUCUUUUAAGUGAACCACAAGCCGUUAGCAAAAGCUUGUUCGUAUGCCCCAGGUUAUGGGACAUCAAGAAAAGGCUGUGGCAUCAUGUUCUGCCCAGAGUGGUCUAAAGAAGCAAUGCCCCCUUAAGGACAAGCGUGGUGGUGACAGAGGCAAGCUAGAGGUUCACUGAGAAGGUGACUUUCUUGGACCACAGCCCUUUGGGAGAGGUCGUGUCCACUCAGCUUUGGAAGAGCUGCUUCGAUGUCAUCAAAGGAUAGCGGUUCUCGAACUCUCCUGGCACAAGAAUAGAAGUUGCUAUCUCUCUGGGAUUGUUCCAGGGAAGUCCUGGCAAAGC
rnacentral:lncRNA from 1 species